rnacentral:lncRNA from 1 species
AGAUCGACUGAUAAAAAUUCUUGACAUAGAGUAGAUCUUCCAUUUUUCCCUUCCAAAUGACAUAAUUAACGCUAUUUAAAGUAAUCAUUCUACUUGUGUUGACUUUCAUUGUUUACCAAAUAAUACAGAUAUUGCAAAUCGUGGGCUCUGAUACCAGUUUGUUGGGUAAACGUAAAAUAACAACAAAAGUAUUUGUGACAAAAUAAUAGGAAAAAUAAAUAAAAAUAAUAACACCAAGAAUUUUACGUGGAAACCCUUCUAAAUAAGGGAAAAACCACGGACCAAGAGGAGCAACUGAUAUUACUAUCCUAAGGAAUUUUACAUCAUAGUCACAAAUACAAUACGCAAAGUGACUACCACACAUUCAAAAGAAAUAACCUCUUUUGACUCCCACCUUACUAAAAUAAUACUCACUCUAAUUUUUCUUCACAAACUAUUUUUUAUCACAGUCUGUAAAAUACCUCACUGCUUUCUAUUAUUUUUCUC